CCUACGGGUGGCUGCAGUGAGGAAUAUUGGUCAAUGGUCGGGAGCCUGAACCAGCCAAGCCGCGUGAGGGAGGAAGGUACAGAGUAUCGUAAACCUCUUUUGUCAGGGAACAAAGACUGGGACGCGUCCCCGGAUGAGUGUACCUGAAGAAAAAGCAUCGGCUAACUCCGUGCCAGCAGCCGCGGUAAUACGGAGGAUUCGAGCGUUAUCCGGAUUUAUUGGGUUUAAAGGGUGCGCAGGCGGGUUGUUAAGUCAUCGGUCAAAGCACGGGGCUCGACCCGGGCCCUGCGUUUGAAACUGGCAGUCUGGAGUGGGAGAGAGGUAGGCGGAAUGCGCGGUGUAGCGGUGAAAUGCAUAGAUAUCGCGAAGAACUCCGAUUGCGAAGGCAGCAUGCCGGCCCCACACUGACGCUGAGGCACGAAAGCGUGGGUAUCGAACAGGAUUAGAUACCCUUGUAGUC
rnacentral:rRNA from 1 species